UGCGUGGGCGUGCGUGGCGGAACCAAAACCGCUAAAGUGAAGCGGCGCAUGAAGAAGCGAGUAGCGGUUUUACUCGCGGAAACAUUAAGGGGAGUACCAGUUCCUGUUUCGCGAGAGAUGGGUUCCGUUGGAUCCUGCGAUGCGCCCCGGGUAACCAAAUUUGGGGCCGUCUGCCGAUGAAACCGCCACCGGCAGUGCGUG
ncrna:unclassified sequences FuFi-1 RNA